rnacentral:lncRNA from 1 species
UUGUAGUCUCUUUAAAGUAGGAUAAAUCUGGUAUUUAAAAUAGUCUUUGUUCAAAGCCAUUUUUUUUUCUAACAGUCAUAAAGGGACUCUGAUUUGUGCUGCAUGAACAAUGCCAGCAUCAUCAUUUUAAUGUUAUCCAUAUGGGCUUCUAAUAAUAGAUAAGAGUCUACAUUUGUAUUAUAUGUCUUAGAGACAUUUAAAAUCUAGAUAAGGAAAGGCUGAUUUCAUUGGCCCCAUAGUUAAAGGAAAGCAGACCCUAAUUAAAAGAAUUCUGUUCUGAAUUAACUAGUUUGACAUGUGCUAAUUGACAGUUCCUGUGAAAUGGUUCUAAUUAAAGUCAAUAUGUCUUUUUCAAUUAAAAGGAAAUUAAGAAUAUACUAAUAUACAUUAACAACUUAAUCUGCCUUCAAUAUCCCAUACAUCAGCUGCUUUUUUCCCCCCUAACGUUAUUGAAGAGCCAUCUGACAUGAAUCAUCUACUGUUUGCUUAUGGUAUCUCAUUAUUACUUCACACGAGCACAAGAGUAGUGUAUGUCCCCUUGAGGAAGAGGAUAACCUGCACAUGCUUUAAUUUUAAGAUCUCCCAACUCUUAGUUCAUUAAAAGUAAACCCACCUUUUUGAAUUUAAAAAAUGGACACUCUUAGUAAGAAUCUUGGCUAACUGAAAACAAAGACAAGUGUUCUCAAUUAGUUGGUCUUUUACUAUAGGCCUUAGAGGUAAUUGCAUUCUGCUGGAAAGAAGGCUGGACUGUUUUCAUCAUUUGGCUUGAUUCAAUGCAAAGCUUGAUCUGAGCAACAUACAACAGAAAACAUCUUUCAAAUUAGGUUCUGUUUCCCAAGUGAAACUUCAGGGAAAUCUCAGGUGGGAAUACUUCACAUUGUAUAUGUAACAGAAAAAUAGAAAGCAAGAUCGCUCAAAUGCCAGAACUAACAGAAGGCCCAUCAUAUUCACUGAAAAUGUAGCAUUAGAGAAACUGUUUAUAGAAACAUAAUUAAAUAUUCAAAUGUGCAUUACCAAAGCUAUGGUAUUGGCAAUGUUAAUACUAGAGAAAGUAAUAUUAAACUCAAGCAUCAAUAUAAAUGAACACUGCAUUAACAUCACAUAGAGAACUAUGGAAAAGAUUAAAACUAUUUGUUUCUUAAUAGAUAAUUAU